rnacentral:rRNA from 1 species
UACGAACCGUACAAACGUUGUCCGGAUUUACUGGGCGUAAAGAGCGCGCAGGCGGUCGUUCAAGUCGCGUGUGAAAGCCCCCGGCUCAACUGGGGAGGGUCACGCGAUACUGAUCGACUCGAAGGCAGGAGAGGGUAGUGGAAUUCCCGGUGUAGUGGUGAAAUGCGUAGAUAUCGGGAGGAACACCAGUGGCGAAGGCGGCUUUCUGGCCUGUUCUUGACGCUGAGGCGCGAAAGCUAAGGGGAGCAAACGGGG